rnacentral:rRNA from 1 species
UACAGAGGGUGCAAGCGUUGUUCGGAAUUAUUGGGCGUAAAGCGCACGUAGGCGGCUUGGCAAGUCGGAUGUGAAAUCCCUCGGCUCAACCAAGGAAGUGCAUCCGAAACUGCCGAGCUUGAGUACUUAAGAGGAUCGCGGAAUUCCCGGUGUAGAGGUGAAAUUCGUAGAUAUUCGGAAGAACACCAGUGGCGAAGGCGGCUCACUGGACUGGUAUUGACGCUGAGGUGCGAAAGCGUGGGGAGCAAACAGGG